AGCGAACGCUGGCGGCAGGCUUAACACAUGCAAGUCGAACGGGCAUAGCAAUAUGUCAGUGGCAGACGGGUGAGUAACGCGUGGGAACGUACCUUUUGGUUCGGAACAACACAGGGAAACUUGUGCUAAUACCGGAUAAGCCCUUACGGGGAAAGAUUUAUCGCCGAAAGAUCGGCCCGCGUCUGAUUAGCUAGUUGGUAGGGUAAUGGCCUACCAAGGCGACGAUCAGUAGCUAGUCUGAGAGGAUGAUCAGCCACAUUGGGACUGAGACACGGCCCAAACUCCUACGGGAGGCAGCAGUGGGGAAUAUUGGACAAUGGGCGAAAGCCUGAUCCAGCCAUGCCGCGUGAGUGAUGAAGGCCCUAGGGUUGUAAAGCUCUUUUGUGCGGGAAGAUAAUGACGGUACCGCAAGAAUAAGCCCCGGCUAACUUCGUG
rnacentral:rRNA from 1 species